rnacentral:rRNA from 1 species
GUCCUAAAUUUUAAUCCAACAUCGAGGUCGCAAACUCUUUUAUCGAUUUGAACUCUCAAAAAAAAUUACGCUGUUAUCCCUAAGGUAAUUUAAUCUUUUAAUCAAUAAAAUUGGAUCAAUUAAACAUAAAUCAAUGAAAAAAAUAAAGAAAAGUUAAUUAAAUUUUCCAAUCACCCCAACCAAAUAAAUUUAAUUAUUAUUAAUAAUUUAAUUCUUCAAAAUAAUAAAAAAGUAAAUUUAUAAAAUUCUAUAGGGUCUUCUCGUCUUUAAAUAAAAUUUAAGCUUUUUAACUUAAAAAUAAAAUUCUAAUUAAAAUUAAAAAAAGACAGUUAAUUUCUCAUCCGACCAUUCAUUCCAGAUUUCAAUUAAAAAACUAAUGAUUAUGCUACCUUUGCACAGUUAGAAUACUGCGGCCAUUAAAUAAUCAUUGGGCAGGCCAGACCUUAAAUCAUUAUCAAAAGGCC